ACACACAAACCUUAAUAACCCUCAAGGACAAGUGGAGCAAGAUCUCAGACGAUCUGUUCCCUUUUAGUUACAGGAAACUUGAUAAUGAAGAUCUCCACCCUGGUCAAGAACAGAGGAAAGACCUAAAGUGAGGUCAGCUAAAAACAAGAAAGAAAUUUAAAGCAUCCUGGGAAGUCAUCAUACCCUUUUUCUCCAAGAAAAUCUAGUUUUGCUUGUUUUUGUGUAUCCCACAACACCUGUGUUUGACUAUCUUUUUCACUUUGGAUUUGGAUUUUGGUGUGAUAUACACAGUUCCAAAAAAUCAAUGGAUAGAAAACUCAAUGGCAUAAAUAAGUGCUUAAAACAAUACUUCAAGAAAUGUUCAACAUUCCACGAGAACAAUAUCCACGUGAGAUGAAAAGAAAAGUCUAAGUUAGUUCCUGAUUCCUGGAAGCUGGGAAAGUAUGUAUUUUAUUUGUGUAUUUGCUUAACAAACAUUUAUAGGGCUAAUUAUAGGCCAGAUACUUUUCCACAGAUUUCUAAAAUAUUAUUAUUAAUUCUCAUAACUACCCUCUGAGGUAUGUACUACUACUGUCCCCCUUUUACAGAUGGGGUAACAGGUAUAGAGAAGUUAAGGACUUGAGUCAUACGAGUAGUGGCAGUAGAAGAAAGAGUUAAACCCGGGUAGUUGGGAUCCAAAGUUUGUGGCCCUAACCACUCACACUGCCCUCCACAACAAGCUGCCUCUUUUCAGGAGUACCAGAGACAUGUUACCACUUUAGGCAGUUAUUAUUCAAUAAUUGUGGACCUUCCUCAGGAUAGAUGGAUGAAAACAAAAGGCAAACAAAGUAUAUCUGUCCCUAUAAAGUAUGCCUAAGGUGUUUGUGUCAUUCAUCUGAACAGAGUUCUACACUACCAUGUCCCAAAGUUCCUUUCACUAACAUAUUAUGUAAUAUACUAUGAUUUGAAUUUUCCUUAAUAUACCAUGAAUGGUUUUUUAUUUCUAAAUCUAUCUCAUUCAUUUAAUACUCCACAGUACUAGAUUGUGUAGAGGCCUACAGAUGUGGUUAAAUAGUCUAUUGAUUUCUUCAGUUGUUAUUAUUCAGUUGUUAUUACUGAUUUUAUUCUGCCUUUUUUACAGGUCUCAUUCCAGUAACUACUUAAUACCCCCUGUCAGUCUCCUUCAAAGGCUGAAGCCAGCCUCUGACUGAAGCGCAGCCGCAAUGUUUCCUGUCUGGUGCCAGCACAGCUUGCCUGGACUUCUGAAAAUUGCAAGCGCUUGCUCCUUGCUAGUCACCACACUCCCCCUUUCUUAGUUGCAGACUCCCUCUUGCUGUGGUUUACCAGGUGCCCUUAUUGCCCCUCAUGCUUGUGUGCCACUUUGGACUUAAUCUGGCACACUUAACUCCCUUCAUCUACGCCUGAAGCUGGACAAGCUGAAGUGACUGCGUCACUUUCUCAAUUCUGGCUCCUGCCCACCGACCUUGCUCUGCUAGGAGGAAUUAGCUCUGCCUGGCCAGAACCCAAGAAGUGACAAAUCAAACUCGCUCAAUAGGUGGUAAUUAAACUUCUGGCUCUAAAGCCCAGAAUAGGUUGUCAAUGGGAUUUCACAGUGGCUCCCUGACACUAAGCAAGGAUGUAUUUCUACAUCUAGUUUUAAAUCUUAAACUCUAAUAGGAUUCUCAGAAAAGACAGUAAAGACUAAGGCCAAAAAAAGUUGUUUAAAGGGGAAAAUGACAGUAAGUACAAAAGAUAAUCUGGGGAAGACCUGGCAAUUCUGAAAUCAAAACAUCUGUUACUAAGUGGAUCAUGACU
ensembl:lncRNA ST7-AS2 ST7 antisense RNA 2